rnacentral:tRNA from 1 species
GGAGGAUUCGCAUAGCGGCCGAGUGCGCGCGCCUCGAACGCGUAGAUGAAUGUCUCGAGGAUCCAAAUCCCUCAUCCUCCG